CCUACGGGAGGCUGCAGUGAGGAAUAUUGGUCAAUGGCCGCAGGGCUGAACCAGCCAAGUCGCGUGAGGGAUGACGGUCCUAUGGAUUGUAAACCUCUUUUGUCAGGGAGCAAAGGGCGCCACGUGUGGCGCUUUGCGAGUACCUGAAGAAAAAGCAUCGGCUAACUCCGUGCCAGCAGCCGCGGUAAUACGGAGGAUGCGAGCGUUAUCCGGAUUUAUUGGGUUUAAAGGGUGCGCAGGCGGAAUGUCAAGUCAGCGGUAAAAUUUCGGGGCUCAACCCCGUCGUGCCGUUGAAACUGGCGUUCUUGAGUGGGCGAGAAGUAUGCGGAAUGCGUGGUGUAGCGGUGAAAUGCAUAGAUAUCACGCAGAACUCCGAUUGCGAAGGCAGCAUACCGGCUUCCGACUGACGCUGAGGCACGAAAGCGUGGGGAUCGAACAGGAUUAGAUACCCCGGUAGUC
rnacentral:rRNA from 1 species